UUUUACAGGUCCUAUAAUCGUGGUAUAUGACUACGUCAAAACAGAAAAACAAGCUUGUCCCUUAAAUAUAGGGAUUAUUAAACUCUACGUGACUAACAACCCUAAAAAGAAGGAACCCUAGCAGUAACGGCUAGGAGUUCCAACAACUUCAACACGGUGAUCCCGUAGCCUAAAGCCCCAAUCGCUUUCGCACAGACACCAGGCAUGACCACCCUCCCAAGAGAAGAAUCCGGCCUACCGGCCAGUGAAUUGUACGAUUCAGAGCGCCUUAAGCGCCCUAGGAUUUCAGGGUUUGUGGCCAAGAUUGGGCGAGAACCUUAAUUUUAUAGGGUCUGUGACCAAGAUUGGGCGUAAAAUUUUGUCAACGAAAACUCUGUUUUUUUAUAUUGAAAACAUAUACAAAUUCAGGUAGGAGUAGGAAAGCCCCGCCUUGCAAACACUGUCAAAUGUAUACGCACGACGAGUCAGAUUGUCCAUGCGUGGACCCAAACCCGGUUUGUGUCUUCUGUUUCGUGCAUAAUAAUUGUGGGUUUAUUGGCCACUGGGCUGGAACGUGCCCAUACGAGAAUGGUUGUGCUGAGAGGCCUGCACCCCCUGCUCGUCCAAAGAGUGUGGCUUAUGUGAACAACUGUCCACCGGAUAUAGAGCAGAAAGAGUUGGAAGAACUUUUCGGCACUGUUGGUCCUAUAUUCGAAGCUGUAGUUACUCCUCCUCUAAACGAUACUUGGCCUUAUGCACUUGCAAGUGUUUAUUACGUGGAAAAGGAUGACGCCCAGAAGGCCUUCGACAAACUGAAUGGGUAUAGCAUCCGGGGUCACAUUAUCAAAGGAAAACUAAUGAAAAUGGCUUAAAAACUUUUAGUUUUAAUGAUAAGGACAAAAUAAAGAGUAAAGUGAAUAGUACCAUGAUUGACUUUUUAGUGUAAAAAUGUGGUUUUUCGUUAAAAUGAACAAUAUCGGGUGCUUUUCGUUAAAGUCCCCUAUACUGUAGUUAAAGUCCCCUAUACUGUAGGGUUGACCCGCCUUUCCUGCCCUUGGUGUAGGUUCAUCCCCUCACUCCUCCCCUCCAUCUGUUGUUCGGAUCUUAAUAGUGAAUAGAUAGUCGCACUAAGAAUGUUGCUUGAUCUUAAACCUCUGUUUAGGAUUUUGCACGUUGUCAUUUUAAUUUGGCUGCUUGUCCAAGGAGUCGGUAAUUUAAUAUGAGCUGCAUCAAAUGAGCCUUUUUUAUAUGGAUGGAUAGCAUGAAUUCUUGUUUUUAUUUGCAGUAUCUGAGGACGGUUGUUGAUUUUGUUCUGGAGAAUUUUGUGUCUAAAAAUUAUGUGGAAGAAAGUAAUGCAGUGGAAGGCAUGGUUUGUGUCUAAAAAAUAUGAGCAGCCUUACCAUUUCUGGCAGGUGGACCCAUGGGCCAACCGGGGCGUUCUGGUUCUCUGCAACCGUGACCCGAUUCCUGGGCGUGUUUUUCCGAAGCUUUUUCGGCUUGCUCUGACGACGAUAGUCGUCGCCACCACCACCGUUCAAUUCCCUUUGCCAUGUCGAACAAAAACCAGCCAAACUUUACCCCGUUUGGCCAUGUUUUAAUCGGUUGAGCUAGACGAUCUUCAGCUCCUCGACGGCGAACUCGCCAUCUCUGUCCACCUCGAAGCCAACCACAACCACCACCCUCAGUCGGCAGCUCUUGAACCCAGGAAGAGAAACCUGGGUCUGAUUGCCCAUUGGAAUAGCCAUGGUAGCAUGGCGAAGCUUUACCAUUCUAGCGAUCCGCGACUUUGACGGUGACUUUCAACGUCCUCCAACCAGUUUUGGACUCCCGCGAAGCUAUGAAAAUUCUUCCCCUUGUUUGGUUCUACAUGCUUAAGAAAUUUGGUGACGUUUGGAGAAAGUGGAAAUUAUGGUUCCCGUUCAAAAUCGCAGCGGGCGGUGGUGUGGUGGUGCGUGGCCAGUGACCUGACUUUGUCUCCUAGACUAAAUUCAAUGCCCCGAACACAUUUUUGGUAUUCAUUCAAUGAGAUUCUGUUGUUUGAA